AGUGAACGCUGGCGGUAGGCCUAACACAUGCAAGUCGAACGGCAGCACAGUAAGAGCUUGCUCUUACGGGUGGCGAGUGGCGGACGGGUGAGGAAUACAUCGGAAUCUACUUUUUCGUGGGGGAUAGCGUAGGGAAACUUACGCUAAUACCGCAUACGCCCUACGGGUGAAAGCAGGGGAUCUUCUGACCUUGCGCGAUUGAAUGAGCCGAUGUCGGAUUAGCUAGUUGGCGGGGUAAAGGCCCACCAAGGCGACGAUCGGUAGCUGGUCUGAGAGGAUGGUCAGCCACACUGGAGCUGAGACACGGUCCAGACUCCUACGGGAGGCCGCAGUGGGGAAUAGUGGACAAUGGGCGCAAGCCUGAUCCAGCCAUACCGCGUGGGUGAAGAAGGCCUUGGGGUUGGAAAGCCGUUUUGUUGGGAAAGAAAAGCAGCAGGUUAAUACCCAGCGGUUCUGACGGUACCCAAAGAAUAAGCACCGGCUAACUUCGUG
rnacentral:rRNA from 1 species